GGAGGGUUAGGUUAAUUGGUAAACCACCAGUCUUGAAAACUGGCGUCCGAAAGGACUUGGGGGUUCGAGUCCCUCACCCUCCGCCA
rnacentral:tRNA from 1 species